AUCUCUUCGGCUUCAUCCACUAGUGCAUGAGGAAUUAUUAUGGACAGGAAUGCAAACAAGCAGGCUGGAGUUGAGAGGGUAGCAACAGAUUUGAAACCUUUCAAAAGGAUGGCUCUGGAGAACACCCCCUUCCUGGGUCAUGAACUUUUGGGCUGAGGACACAACAUGAGGGUUUGUUGCAGGUACCCAAGGAGGCCAGAAGAGGGUGCUGGAUUCCCUGGAACUGGAGUUGUAAGCACUUGUGUCUAUCCUGGGGGCCAAACCUGAGUUCUCUGCAAGAGCAGUGUCUCCUCUCAUCUGGAUGGUGAUGAGGUCACCCAAUGGUCAUCAGAGGGCCCCAAGGGAUAUUAAGAUGAGGGGAAACUCUUACUUCUGUAGGCAUUCCUCAGUCAGAAAGCUACAUCUGGGGUCAUUGGCCUCCCCAAGGAAUCUGGGGUCCUGAGAACUCAAAAAUCCCAGAGCUGUUGAGACGAUGACACCAGGAAUGGACAACAGAGCCCAGCAGAACAUUAAUUACUUUUUGUCUCUGACACCCCCAGGGCUAGCCCCUCCAGUCCUGAGUAGGUACAUGGUUACCUAGGCAGAAGGGGUGUAUGUGAAGGUUAACCAAGGUGGAAGACCUGCCCACCGUGGAUGG
rnacentral:lncRNA from 1 species